ACUACCUUGAAGUCGACUUGUCUUCAUGUUGUGAAUUAUUCUGCCACGGGGUCAAGAUGGCUGAUGAAUCAUGACCCGAGGGACUCCCGAAGAUGAGUACUGUUGAAAUUCUCCUAAAUGGAGGAGAGAUGCCAGAAUGGUUUCUCCACUGUAAAGAUGGUUGCAUAACUUUCAUGGUUCCCCAGGACCUGUAUGACAAGUUCUUAGGACUAGCACUAUGUGUUGUUCUUGGCCUGGAGGAAG